UACAGAGGGGGCAAGCGUUGUUCGGAAUUACUGGGCGUAAAGGGCGCGUAGGCGGCCUCCUAAGUCAGACGUGAAAUCCCUCGGCUCAACCGGGGAACUGCGUCUGAUACUGGGAGGCUUGAAUCCGGGAGAGGGAUGUGGAAUUCCAGGUGUAGCGGUGAAAUGCGUAGAUAUCUGGAGGAACACCGGUGGCGAAGGCGGCAUCCUGGACCGGCAUUGACGCUGAGGCGGCGAAAAGCUAGGGGAGCAAACGGG
rnacentral:rRNA from 1 species